UUGAAUAUUAUUGUAUCGUAAAUAUGAAUCAUUACGUUAUGUUUAAUAUGCAACUUUAUUGACUACUUUUCAAUAAUUUAUUAAAAUCAUAAUAAUCAUUAUAUAACAUAUACAAAAAAAUUAGAAUAACAAAAAAAAAUAUUAAAUUUCUCGCUUUUAAAUAAUAUAAUGAACUAGGCCUUAUAUUUUUAUAAUAUAGUUCAUUCUAAACAAAAUUGAUAUAUUUUCGUCAUAGAUUGUCAUUUAUUAUUUUUACUUCACGUUAAUAAAUUUUAAUUAAAAGAAAAAAAAAUAUUAGAAUAUCUGUAACAAUUAAAAAUGAUAUUGUACAUAGAAAAUAAAUAAUAAUUUUUUUCUUGAUGGUUGGUUUGUAGUUAUAAGAGAUAUUUGUGUAAAAAUUUAAAGAUUGAAAUUAUAUGUAAUAAUAAUAAAAGUUGAAAUGAAAGUGGAAAAUUGUAAAAACAACAAAAAAGUUGUAUUCACUUUUUGAAAUCCAACUCCAAAAUAAUUUUUUGACUUUUCAGGAUCAAACACCAUAAUUUUCAAAAAAGUAAAAAGUUUCAGAAAAAAAAAUUAUGGCCAAACGGGCCCUAAGUAAAAUGCCAAACCAAGAAAAUAGCAUAGUAAGUAAAAUGCCAAAAUAAUCACGAGUUUGUUAGGAAAUAUGUACCGUCAACUUGACAACUCAACAAAGUAACAAUAAUUACUGAUAAAAGUAAAGCAAUAAUAAUAUUCAUGGUGAUAAAAUACACAUAAUCAACAAUAAUAACUACACGAAUCAAAGUGACUUCACCGGAGUCAGCUUUUCCAACCAAUUCAGUCCAAAACAAUCAUUUUAGAAAAAAAAAAUAAUGUAAGAAUAGAUAGAACACUCAAAUGCUAAACAAACCCAAAAGGAUUCACCGAAAAUCGAAACAAAGGAGAGCUGACCGGCGUUGCUUCAACGGAGUUACACCGGAGCAACGCCGAAAAUACAAAACCCGGUCAGAUCUGAAAAUGAGCACAUGAAAAAUAAAACUUUCCAGCCAGAUCUGACCAAAUUAUCGGCGGACAGUGCUGGAGUUGUGUGUCGUAGAUCACUGGUGGCUAGAUCCGGCGAAGGCGACGAAGGGGAAAAGGGAAAAGGGGGCGGCGCGGCUACGUUGGCCAGUCGCCGGUGACGGGAAAAGGAGAAAAGGGGAAGGGAGGCGGUGGCUGGUGCCUUGGUGGUCGCUGGAGGAAAACUCACCAGCCAUGGUGAUGGGGCGGCAGUGAGUUUGGGGGAAGAGACAGAGAGAAAGAAGGAGGAGCGACUUUGUUUUGUCUUUUUUGUUAGUGUGUGUGUUUUAGAAGUGUGGAUGUGUAAACAUUUAAAAAUAAAUAAAUAAUUUAUCAAAUUUAUUUUUUCUUUAAUAUAUUCUUAAAUUAGAGAAAGUAGAUGUGGGAAAAUAAAUAAGUGGAGAAAAUAGAAAAAGAAAAUUAAAUUAAUAUUAUUUGUGUUAAUGUGACACGAUAUCAAAUUAUUAUUGUACUGUGUAUUGAAAUAAUUAAUUUAACUCAGCUUUUGUAGGUCGUAUUAAAUAACAUAUAAAAUAAUGAAUGCCAAUAUAUAAAUACAAAAAAAUAAUAAUAUCAAUAAUAAAAAAAAUAUAAUUAUCUUAAAAAAAUAUAUUAUGUUAUAAAUAAUUAAAAUUAUACUACGCCAUAAAGAAUUGUAGUGCUAUGUUGUAUACGUAUGCAAAGGACUGUGCAAAAUAUUAAAAUAAUAAAUUGAUAAAAAAUUUAAAAUUUACGAAAUUAAAGAUAAUUAUCAAUAAAUUAAUUUAAAAUUUACGAAAUUAAAGAUAAUUAUCAAUAAAUUAUGUAAAAUUAAAAUAUGACAAUAAAUGAGUAAAAAAAUUCUAAAAUAAUGAUGAUUAUCAACAAUUUAUUAACAAUUGCAAAAAUAUGUAAAAAAAAAAUUGUACAUUGUGCCAUUUAACGAUCAGGGAGCUCUAAACGCGUUAAUUUUAAAUAUGGAGAGCCAAAAUUGAAUGUUAACAAAUACAACCGUAAAAAUUCAGUACACAUUGCAUAUGUAUUUAUUUAAAUACAACUGUAUAUGCAGAAUAUGUAUUUAACACAUCAUGUGUUAUACAUAUUAUCAAAUGCAUAUGUAUAUAUGAAUAUACAUAUUAGCAUUUAGAAAAAUACAUAUUACCAAAUUAAAAAAGACACUAUUUUUUAUAUAUGUAUAUCUUAAUUCAUAAAAUACAUAUGUUGUAUAUGUAUUCAACAUAACAAAUUAUUUUUUAAAAUUAUUAUACCUUGAUUUCAGUUAUUGCAUUCAUUAUCUGAUCACACCUUGAUGAUACUAGGCCACGGAUGAAUUUCAUCUCUUGAUAAACCUGAUUCAAAAUAAAUAAAUUAUAAAUGAAUAAAAUAAUUCAAAUCAUAAACACAAAUUACCUCAUUGCGAAACUUUUCAAACACUUUCUUCGAAACAACAUUAUCUUCAUCUCCAGAACUGAACGAAGAGGAAUCAGGUGACUAAAUCGGAAUAGAUUUUUUGCUUGCUGAUCAGUUUAUGUCCUUCCUCUUUGAAUCUACUUUAUCUUUUGAUUGAAUCGGCAUAAAAAUUGGAGUCCAGACAGAAAGCUUCUUUGCAACACGAGGUGGAGGGGUCCUUUUUGGUGUCUGCUAAUCCAAACCUUUAUGUUGUUGCUUCAACUUUUUCUUGACAGGUGAAGUGGAUGAAUCACCAUGAUGUUUUUUUUUUGGUGAUUGAAUGUUUUUGUGGAUGUAGUGGAUCCUACAAAUCAUCAUCCGAAUUAACCUCAUCAUCUUUAUGACUUACACUUGCAGAAACAACUUUCUUGGGUAUCGAAAAGGAUGAAAUCUCCUUUCGUGUUGGCUCAAUAUUCUUAAAAGAAACCUACAAUUUAUAUUACAUAAAACUAAAAAGUAUUUUAGAUGAUAACACCAGUGAUAGUAGGAACAUAAAUCACUGACAUUACAAAAUAAUUAACCUUUACAUAAAUGCAUAAACAUUGACAAAUUAUAUUUUGAAUAAACAUAUACAAUAACAUUAAAUAUAUUUAUAAAUAAUCAACAUAAAGAACAAAAUAUAUAAAGAAAACUAACUUUGACAUCUGCAUCAUUAAACAUGCUUUUCAUAAGAGAUUCGUAUUGUGGACAAGGAGCAUUUGUUUUUCAAUUCAAAUGACGGGGAAUUUGAUUGUCCGCCUUUGAAGAAACAUUACGAGGAACAGUGGAACAACACUCGUACAAACAAAUUUGAAUGGCCAAAGGCACUCCAUGUAGCAUAUAAAACUUUUUUUUCGAUUUGAGCUUUUUAUUCAAGCUUUUGGCUAAUUCCUCGAAUGCAACAGACCCCCAAGGAUAAUCACUGUAGCGACCACUCGCAACCAAAUUAAAAUGUAGCCGUGGAAUAACUACAGUAUCAACAGUAGACAACAAAAAUGCUUGAAUAAAAUAGAAAUUAGCAAACUUCAAGGCAUCUUUAUCAUUGUCUUUCCCCCAAUUUCUUUCAGAAAAAGCAGCAAAUAAUUCUCUUUUCUGAAUAUACUUGGCACCACCAAAAUAUUAUUCAAUAAUUCUAUUCAGAAGAUCCCCAUCAAACACAAAAUCGUCCUUGUUUGAAACACAAUUCAAACCAGUAACCACAACAAACUCUCUAGGACUGAAAUGAAGAUUUGUUUCUUUCACACGAAUUACUAUGACAUUUGAAGUACUUUUCUUAGUCUCAAGCGACAUAAUACAUCUUCCAAACUCCGCUUGGACCACACAAAUUAUUUUCUUCAUGAAGACAAUAAAUAUGUUAUUAUUACAAAAGAUCUUGUACUGAUUCUUCGUUAAAAUUGACUUAAUACGAUCUUUAAUGUCAUUGACCGUAUGACAUCCUAUAUGUGGAGCAAAUUUAGCAAUACUAUUGUUGUGUAUAUCUGAUCACGCAAAAUCUAUACACCAUAAAAUUACAAUUAUAUGUUAAAACAGUGACAUAUAUGUAUUUAUGAAAUACAUCUUAAAGUUACAUUAUCCCUACAUUAUAUACAAAAAACUAUCUUAUAUAUUUUGUGAAUAUAUGACUGAUCCAUAUUUAAGUUAUCAAACUUUAAAUUGCAAACAUCGACAUCGUCUAAUGAAUAACAAAUACAACUGAGAAAAAAAAUAUAAAUAUUAGCAAAAACAAAUAAAAAAUACAAAUCUAACAUGUAACAAAUACAUUUCACAUGAUUUCAAGCAAACUAAAUACAUAUGUAUUUUAUUUAUACACAACUAUGACAAAAAUCAUGCUUAUCAAGAAGAAAGAAGUACAUGUCUUUGUCUAAAUCAAAUGAAUAACAAAUACAACUUAAAAUCAAAUACAAAUCUUAGCAGUAAACAAACCAAAAACAUAUCUAAAAUGUAGCAUAUAUAUACUUUACAUGUCAAAAUAGUGCCACUUAUGUAUUUACAGAAUACAUAUUAUACUAAUAUUAAAACAUAUACAUAUGUAUUUUAUGAAUACAAUAUGUAUUUUAAGUAACCAGAAUAUAAUACAACUGAACAUCAAAUACAAAUCUUAUCAGUGACAAAUACAAAUAUCUUAAAUACAAAUACAUAUUCAAUAUAUACAAAAUACAUAAAAUAUACAAUUUAUAUCUAUAAUCAACCUUUGCACAAAAUACAAAUUCUUACAUAUAACAGAUAUAAAAUAAAUACAAUUAGGGACUACAAUUCUAUAUCUUAACAACACAAUAGAGACUAGAAUUUUAAAUCUUUAAGAAACAGAAAAAUAAAUACACACCUAAUAAGUUGUAUAUAUAAAAUACAUCUAUGAACAUGUUUUCAAGAAAAUAUAAAAUUUUACAAAUAGAAUCAUACCUCCUCCAUUUACUCUUUUUCAGAUUCAAAAUCAGAUGAAACAGGACUUGAAAUUUUACUAGAUUCACCUUUUUCAUCAGGCUUUCUCUUUUUCAUAGAUUUUUAAUUUUUUUUUGGUUUUGGGGAUGAAGGUUUUCUCAAACCUUUCUGUUUUAUUUUUUUCACAAUAUUUUUUGAAUUAUUACGGUGCUUCAAUCUCGCUUCUUCACUGCUAACACCUCCCUUAGGUUGAAUAUUAAUAGAACCCAAAUUAAAAUCUUCAUCUUGAGUUAACCCAAGACUAAACGAUGGUAGUUCAUCGGAAACUAAAUCCAUCAGUUGAAUACCCCUAACUGAACUACUAUGAUUUGCAUGUUGUGCCAUUAUAUCAGAAAUUCAAAGAUUUCAACACACACUAAAAAAAAAAGAUCAAACCCUAACAGACCAAAUAGGAGAAAAAGAAUGAAAAAUUUGAAAAAAAAAUCGACAGUAAAAUAUAUAAAAGAGUUUAUAUGAAAAAUAUAACAUGCAUUAACUGAAAAAAAUAACUUACCUUAAUAGUUGGAUGCAAUAUUUAUCAAGAUUGAGGAGAGAAAAAAUUGAAAUUUGAAAAAAAAAAAAGAUUGGAGGAAAAUGAAAUUGGUAUAUGGCGUGAAAAAAGGAGAAGGUAAAAAAAUGAGUUAAAGUCACGCGCUUUUCCCUAAAGAAGAUAAAAUAUUGCUAGUUUUGUUAUUAGUUGUAAUUUUAAAAAACUAUUGCUAUUAAUUGUAAUUAAUGUCUUAAGGCUGCUAGUUUAUGUAAUUUUUCGUAAUAAUAAUUAGCUCAAGUUCGCACUUGGCUAGCAAAGUGUUCAUACUGAACCUAAUUAGCAUUUUUGGCGAUGCAAAGUUGAUAUUAUAAAUAAAGCAUAUAUACAACCUCACUAUAUUUAUAACUAAUUGAAAGGAAUAAGUAUUGCUGCCCCAUUAAUGAUUUAAAAAUAAGUAUUCCUAAAAAUUAAUAGAUAUCAAUCAAAAAAUAAUCAUUUGAAUAAUUUCUUAACCCAUGCACACAAUCUUCAGUAUAAAUUAAAGAAUGAUGGAUAAUCAUGAUCACUAAUGAUUUUUUCCUUAAAUAAAUGUAACAUAAUUAUGAAUUAAAUCGAAUUUCGUGGUUAUAUAUGACUACUUUUGAGAAUAUGAAAAUUAAGACAAAAUUGUGACGAAGAAAAAAUAUUUAAUUAGCAUGAUUUUUAUAAAAAUUGGAAAAAGCUAUGUAAAAUUCUAUUUAUUUGGGAAAGUUUUUUUCCAGUUUCUUUUGGACUUUGAAAAUAAGAUUUUUUUUUUCAAGCUUAUUUUAGUUGGGAAAGGUUUUUCUUUUUUUUGUCAAUUUUUAUUUUAGGAAAGUUUUUUAUUUUUUAUUAUAUUUUAUAUUUAAUAUUAUUAAAAUAAAAGAAAAAUAGUGAAAAUACAAUUUUAUCUAAAGUGGAAUCUUUAAAUGAAGGAUAAAAAGUUCAAAUCACUUUUGUAAGAGUUUUCACACUUUUAAUAUAUUAUAAAUUAUAGAUAUAGAUAAUAAAAUUAUUAAUUUCCAAAAAAAAAAAGAAUUUAUUAAAAAAAUAAAGUUAGAGGUUAGAUAUAAGAGGUUUUAGUAAUUAGCAGUUCUCUCUCUUUCACAGGUGGGUUCAUUUGAAACUUAGAAGUAGAGGUGUAUAUGGGUUGGGUUGGUUUUGUUUUAAUUAAAAAAAAAAUUAAAUCAAUCAUGUCAGUUUAUUAAAACUAUAAACCAAAUCAAACCAACAUAAAAUUAAUUUUUUCGGUUAAGGUUUUAGUCGGGUUUUUGGGUUUUAUUGACUUUUUUUUAUUUUUUUUUGAGUUUUUUUUUAUAAUCUUUAGUUUUUACAAUUAUAUUAUGAUCGAUGACUAGAUCAAAUAUGUUUUCACUCAUGUGCUAAUGAAAAAUCAUAAUUAUGAAAAAAUGAGGAGUGAAAAACUCUCUUGAAACUAAAAAGUGAGAAGAAGAGUGAAAAGUUUAGGUUUUAAGAUUAUGUUGGGUUUUCGACCAUUUAAUUAACAAUUAAUGGACAAAUAUUACAACUUAAAGACCCAAAUCUAAAUAUAUAUAGGGAAAAAUUUAGAAAAAACAUACUUAUCCCCUGAAUUAUGAGUUUCAUAGCAACAGUUUCAUAAUUACAUUAUAUAGCAUGUUGUAUUUUGUAUUUUUGCAAACUAUUGCUAUAAAAAUACAAAUACAUAUGAUUUUUACUGCUCUUAUGAUGAUAUAUAUUUUGUAUUUUUGCAAACUGUUGCUACAAAAAUACAAAUACAUAUGUUACAAAAUGUAAUUUGAUAAAAGUGUUGCUAUUUUUUGUAAUUUAAUACUUAAGUAUGCUACUUUAUGGGCAAAAUUCAGAAAUAAUAUACUUAUUCCCUUAAUUAUGAGUUUUAUAGCAACAGUUUCAUAAUUACAUAAUAUAGCAAAUUGUAUUUUGUAUUUUUGCAAACUGUUGCUACAAAAAUACAAAUACAUACAAAUACAUAUGCUACAAAAUGUAAUUUGAUAAAAGUGUUGUUAUUUUUUAUAAUUUCAUACUUAAGUAUACUAUUUUAUGUAUUUUAUAUAUCUACAUCUACUUUCAAAUUAUUGAAAAUUACUAAAACUAGUUGAAAAAAUAUUUAAAAAUUAGAUUAUAAUUAAUAUUUUAUGUAUAAAAAAGUUUGAAUAUUAUAUAUAUAUAUAUAUUAUGUCGGUUUGAUUCGGGUUCGGUUUGAAUCCAUUAUCACCAUUCCAUGAAUCGUCCUGAUGGAAGAAAAUAUCUCAUGUACAAAGAGAACGUAUUCUACGCUACGGAGUUGAAGGAAGAUAGAAAAUCUCCCUUCUUUAGAAAUUUCGAUCAAUUCAACGAUAAUUGCCCCGAUUUUUUCUGUUUAAUACAGUUUGAUUUGCUCAUGGAAAGAUGUACAUCAUAUUGCAAUUUCAAUACAAGAGAAGUAAGAUUUCUUCUGUGCCCGAAAGAAUUUGUUAUGAGAGCUUAAUUAGUAUAGUAGUGGCCGAGUAUGUUCAAUUGGUUUUGAACCAAAAGAAAAGAAAUAUAAGCUCUGGUUGACAUUAUUUCUCUCUGGGAUGCACAACAUAUUGGGUAUUCACAUUAGAUAAGGCUUCUAGCAAAAACAUGCACUUGUGGAUCUUGGGAAAGGCUCAAAAUGAGGAUUGGGAGAGUCACAUCAUUGACUUUCCUUCACAAUGGGAAAUCUGUGCUAGACCAGAAUUCUUUUUGUAUUUUAAAUGCACCUCUUCUGACAGGGAGAUUAUAUUUCAUGGUUGUUUGAAGCCAUUUGGUUUCAAGGUUUAAAAGCGUGGAGAGAGUUUGAAGAAAUUGAGAAAGUAAGUGAAAGGUUCAACAACAAUUUUUGUUACGUAGAAAAUCACUUCUUUUUGGGAAAACUUUGCAGUACUAAUCUCCAAAAUUAAACUUCAUUUGGAACUUGUAUUCUUUCUAUGUAUGUGCCUUUAUUUUGCUUGUUUGUUUACCAUAUAAAUAAUUUUACAUUAUCAUUGAUGUAGUGUGGCCUUUUAUGGCCAAGUACACGAGUUGUGGCUAAAUGUAAUGACCCUUCAGUUCCUGUUUUUUUUAUUUUUUUAUUUUUUUUUAUUUUUAGUUUUCGUAUAUUUCUGGUGUUCCGAGCUUUCUCACAGUAGCUACAGGCUAUUUAUGACUUGCCAAAUUUUUUGAUUCGAUUAUCUGAUAGUUCGUUUGAAUUUUAUGCUAAAUUCCCUAUUUUGGAACUUUCGCGGUUAAGAAAUUGGUCUCGAACAAAAAAAUCCUAGUAAAUCGCCUUGAAUGAGAAUUCUGACGGCGCUAUCAACUUUGAAACAUUGAUUUUAGGUUAGGGAAACCCUUGGUUCAGGUCUCGAGGCUUCUGAACUCAUAUUGGGUUUUUGGGUAAAGUUUGGUUUAAAUGGAACUAGGGACCCACAUUUAAUCAAAAUAAUCUCAGAUGAAAGUUUCAACGGUUUAACGUCAAAUUUGAUAUGGUAGCAUAGUUUAUUUGCGCACACGAAAUUCCGUACGAAUUUCAAACAGCCGAUUGGAGUCCGUGAGGACUUAAGCUUUUGAUGCUUUUCCAGCUUCUAGUGCAUGCCCAUUUUACUCUUCACGAUCGUGAGGAAUUGGCUGCGUUCUCGAAGGGUCAAGACAUUGACCAUUGCGUUCGCGAACCUCUCUCUCGUGUUCGCGAUGAAGGCUGCCAACGCAACUCAUUCUUUUUCUUUGCGAUCGCGACUACUAAUGUCACAUUCGCGAUGACCUCUUUGCCUUUGUAUUCGUGAUGCCUUGCUCAUGUUUACAAAAGGAUCUUUUGAUGGGCAUCACAAUCGCGACUAGGGCCCCCCGAAUUCGUGAUGGGAAACCCCUAGGCCUAUAAAUUGAUUUAUUUUCUGAUUUUCUCUCAUUUUCAUGCCCCAAAAUUCACCCUUAUUGAACCCUAGAGAUCAAUAAAAGUGGGAAACUGAUUAGGCGACACUGGAAUAUAUAGAGGAUGUUGAGGUGAUCAUUUUCCAUUGAUUUUUUCAUAAGUUCUCGGCUUAUUUCUCCAUUUAAUUCUUGUUUUCGCUCUUAGUUUGCCAUCUCUCGGGACUGAUUUGAGCCCUGAUUUGUACUCCAUUUAUGCUCAACUUUUUAGCAUAUAUUCUUUGUUCUUCGAGGGAUCUCGUGGAGAAUUCAAUUUUAGAAUUCUAUUAGCAGGCCCCAUGAGCCCAUUAUUGACUUGAUUAUGGAUCCAAAGUUUUAUAUAGCAAUAUGGGUAUAGUUUUACUCCUAUUAAUAUGUAGACUAUUAUUUUAAUAGUGCAAUAUCAUUUUGAGAUCGUGAAGCAAAGAUGAGCAGUUCGUGGGCGAUUCAAGAAUUGCGGUUCGGCAUCAAGGUAGACUUUGGUCUACUUUUCUUCAUGAGAUUGUGUAUAAUACAGAUUGCAUGCUAGGUAGAGAUUAUAGGAUGGAUUGAUGAGUAGUAUAUCAUUACUUAAUCUAUUUAGAAAAUUUGGGAUAAAAAUGACUCGAACCUUAGCCUAGAAUACUUGAUAUAGCCUUAGACUCAUUUAUCGUUGUUUAUGGACUUGUUUACGCAUAGAUUGAUAUUACAAAUUCUUUAAUAUAAGACUUACCACUUGGCUUAGUGAUUUGAGUGGUAUUUUCCUGAUUAAUUAUUUUAGUGAUUUUAUCUCGUGAUUACUGUAGUUUCUUGAGUUAUGAUGCUUUAUGUUGAUUAUGUAUUGUUGGUCCCGAGGUCGUGCUUAUGAUGCCAGUUGGACACCAGAUUAGUACUUUAUCCUUAGGAAGGACGUGGUUAUAGUUAUGAAUGUGUAGCCACCUAUGGUCGUAUUGUUUGAAUAAUGGUGAUGGCAUGCACUUUUAGGCACAUUUAUGACUCCUUAGAGGUACAUUUCCAACCCAACCCUUGAUUUUACUACUAUUUUCUAAAAAGGAAUUUAUUCUCACUUUUCACUUUAAUAAGGGAUUCUUUUACAAACGAGAACUGUACCACCUUAUUUAAUGAAUGAUGAGUUUUGAAACUAAAUGUGAUAUUUUGAAAAUUAGAUCGAGAUUGAUUUUGGUCCAUUACUAUUUCACUAUUUUACUACUGCUAUUUACUUCGGCCGAGAGAGAUUCUGACCCUUUUUAUUCUAUUAUUAGAUUUAGUUCUCGGGCAAUGAAUUUACAGAUUUACACUCUUUAUAUAUAUAUAUUGGUUAUGAUAGUUAUUGAAAGUCCUGGUUUGGAACCAAAUAGUGUAUAUGGAUAUUCCAAGUCCCUAUGGGCCCUUCAUUCGUGAGUUACAGUGACGGAGAAGGAUGGCCGCCAUAGGUCCUACCUUUACGAGUUACUGAGCUGAAGGGGGUGUAUAUCUUGGUAUAUUGUGGAACUUGUAUUGUACAUGAUAUUACCGAUUUAUGCUCCAUUCAUUUAUUCAUAUGCAUUGCCUAUCACUAGUAUAAUUGUUUGAUACUCAUACCUAUCGACCUUAUGGAGAUUUGUAUAGAUAUAAGUUAUGAUUGUUAUUUAUUGAGUGCAUGCGUGCAUCUUCCGAGCUUAUGGGGUCCGGUUAGGUUAUUAUUUAUCUGGACUAUUUGGUUACUUUAUUGUUGAUUAUUCUGGUUAGUCAGUGGCAAGAUGAUUAUGGGAUGAUUUUUGAGGUUGUCGAUAUAUUUUUUAUUCCUUUUCUUUCUUAUGAUAUUUUAAUGUUAGAUUAUCUCAUGUUUAGUCAUCCUUUUGUUAGAGACCCUAUUAUUUUAGUAUUAGCUUUCUUUUUUGGUUGUGAUCCUUGAGAGGUUAGAUUGGUUCCCUUAGGUUAUUACUCUGGGUUUAGUCACACACACACACAAAUAUAUAUAUAUAUAUAUAUAUAUAUAUAUAUAUAUAUAUAUGAUAUUAUCGUAUAUUCCUCUCUUUCCUUAUUUAUUCAUGCUGUGUAUGUAUCUUUUGACCUUGUAUUACUACUAUAUAUCUUUCCUUCACUCUUCAUUUGUAUAUUGGCUAGCGAUAUACGGUGUUGUACUUUAAUUCCUUAAUACUGAUAGAAUAUGAUAAUUUAUCCUUAUUGAGCCAUUAACAUUAUACUGUUUAGUUUUCUUAGAUAGUUAUUUUUAGUUUAUAUUUAUCUUUUGCAUGUUAUUUAUGCUUGCAUUAUCUUUGGAGCUCAAUCAGUCGAUGCCUAUUGAGUACCAUGUGUUUGGUACUCAUACUACACUUCUAAAGCCUGCAGAUAAUAGUACGAGUUCUCGCUGUUGAUGUAUGCAUUGUGUGAAACAGCUAUGGAUCAAUGAUUUGGAUGAGCUCCUAAUGUUCGGAAUAUUUCUGCUCUCCCUCGUAUUAAUUGAACUUAUCUUUAUUUUGUAUUUUGUAUAUGGUUUGUUUAUUUGUAUUUUCUAUGUAUUUCAUUUUGUACUCCCAUUGUAUUAGAAGCUCUUGUACUAACUUCACCAGGAUUUAAUGGCGAGAGCCAUGUCGCCAAUGACGAAUGACAAGGCAAGACAAGGUAGUGUCGCCUCCUACCUGUGUGGCAAUGCAACCUGUAAAAGGCGACGCCAAGGCAAGGAUGGCGAUGCCAUUUUAUUUGUUUUUUAAAAAAAUAGGAUUUUAAGGAUAAAAGGCAAUUUUAGGAUUUUUUUUCCAUUUUUCUUUGACUGACUCACUUCUUGGCGACUGCGACAAGCCCUAAGGCAACUGCGAGUCUACGACUGUGAAAGAUUCCAACGACUGGCAACGGUGACUCCGGCGGCAGCGACUGGUAAGUGUCGUUUCUCUUAUUUUUUUCUACUUUCUUCUUCUUAUUUUCUCCGCUGGUCAGUAUAUAGUCUAUUGAUUUCUUCUUGAUUUUUUUCUUCUCCUUCUUUCUUCUUCCUCUGUUUUUCUUCACAGAGAGUAACAUUGUAACACAGUAAAUAGUUAUACUCCAUAUGUAAAAAGUAUUUCCUAAUAUAUUCCUACUAUUGAGAUUUUGAUAAUUUAUAUAUGCGAUUAAUUAUUUAUAUUUUUUUGGUUUUAACUAUCGCUGCACUUUCUAAAGGCGCUCGCCUCAUGGCCUUUUCUUCUUUUGUUGCCUUUUGCCUUCCAAAAUAUUGAUUCUAUAUUAAUAUUUUAAUUAUAUCAAUUUUUGCCAUUUUUUUCAUUUCUCUUGAUAGUUGUUACUAGCCGUUUUGAAUUAUGGGUUGGCUUACCUACUGGUAGGUUAUAGUAGGUGACAUCAUGGCCAACAAAAUCAGACCGUGACACUAAAAGCAUCUGAAUUAAGCAAAUUCAAUAAAAUUUAAAGAUUCUUUUUCUUUUAUUUCUCAACAUUCUAAUCCAUCAAUUAUUUAAAAAAAAUUGAAAUUUAUUUUAUGUGAUAUAAUUGUAUUAAAUCAUUAUGCAAACAUUUAUAAUUUGAAAAUAUUUUCUUAUUAAAAAUAAGAUAAAAACUAAUAGUAAUUAUAGAAUUACUAAUAAAUUAAAUUUUGAUCGAUCGAUUACUCUUCCAGCACCAAAUGAGUUAUUUAAGAUUAUUAUUAUCACAGUUUUUGUAACAUCCCAUACUUUCGACUAGUAUUUGAAUCAUUCUUUGUACGAGUGUAGGCCCCAAACUUGAUGAUCUCUAAUUGAAUUAAAGUUUUAAGGUCAAUUACAUUGUGUGGUGACUGCUUUUGAUUUAAAUCAUGGCCAUAAGAAACAUCUAGGGUAAAGUCAAAUUGAGAGCAUUUUGAUUAAUUGUGUUUUAUAGUAUACUUUCUUACAUGGUGCAACUUCAAUCGAACAUUUAUGCUAGAAUAUAUAGAGUUACGUGGUUCAUUACAUAUCAAAUUAAAAAUCUUUGAGUCUUCUUUCCAACGCCAUCGACCAUUUAUAAAUUAGAGUCUGUAGCAAAAAACUUAUGAGCUUUCCAAUAGAGGUCCACGAGUCACAGAGCUAUCUCCCGAUAUCACCAUGUCACGGAUCUGUAUCUCCUCGAUCAUAUCGUGCCAUGGAGAUGAUGUCCAACAAUAUUUCACUUAUUUUUAUGCAUUUUUAAGGUCCUUUUGAUUCUUUUUCUUAUUUAAAAUGUCCCCCCUCCCCCCCGCGUACAAAACAUUUCCAGAUUCCUAAGUUACAAAUCGCUCGACCAGAAUAUGUUACUCUCCUUCUCAAAGGUUCCAAGAAUCAAGAACACCUAGGGUUCAAGCCUUAAGGUUCUCCCAUAAGAUUCCUUGCUAAGUUCUUCGUCAAAAGAUAUGUAGAACAAGCCUUAUGAAAUCAAUUUUCAAAUAAUGAUUUAGGGUUGCAAAUUAUAUUAUGAAAUUAUGAGAGAGUGCUUGAACGUGAAAACCCUAUUUGUUGAAAUUUCUUUUGGUUACUUGAUGAAUAGAAUUGAAGGAUGUCACUUUAACUAUGGUAUUUUCCUUUUUUUAGGUGGAUAAUACAAUAUUUUUUGAGAAAAUGCACUGUUUUCAUGUUAAACUAUACACGAAAUUGCUGAGAUACACCCAAACUUUAGGAGGAUCCUAUUACCCCCUGGACUAAUUAAAAUCGUAUUUUUGACAAACUUAACGCAUACGUGGCACAUACGUGGACCUUCAGUGUGUUGAUUCACUGAUGUGCCACAUAUGCACCACGUAGGCACUAUGGUUGCCAAAAAUAUGGUUUUAGUUAGUCCAGGGGGGAGGGAGGGUAAUAGGACCCUCAUAAAGUUCGGGUGUUUCUCAACAAUUUCGUGUAUAGUUUUGGAUGGAAAUAUAUCAUUUUCUCAUAUUUUUUUGGUCAAAAUUUUUACUACUUGAUAAGCUUCGUGGUUUACUAAAAUUAUGAUGAAAUAAGAUGAAUUGACCUAUGCUUAGUUGUUUAUACAAGCUUUUGAGAAAAUUGUGGCUCUUAGAUGGUUAAUGGUUUUCAUAAUGGAUUUAAAUGGUUUUUAAAGAGAGUUUUAUAUGAUCCUCAAAGGUUACUUAUAUAUGUUCAACCUUAUUUUGGUGGGGCGAAAGAGAUGACAUAUUUGACUUGCAAGUUUUGGUAUAACGAUAAUAAUUAAAAGAAUGCCCCUGAGAUUAUGAAAUAUUUCUAGAUAAUGAUUUUUUAUUUAAGAGAAAAGAUAUAAAGACACUAUUGAACUUGUCCGAGAUUUGCAAAAAAAUACUUUAACUUUGUGGGUGACCUAUUACCCUCCUAAACAAUUUUAAAGUAGUAUAAAUAGGACAUUUUUUGUUCAAUCUCAGUUGCAAGAAAGAGAGGAUUAUCACGCACCAAUCAACAUCUUACACGUGUUAAAUUUACUUAAUCUUACACUUUAUUUAUGUUUUUGGUACUUUACUAUUUUUCUUUUUCCUUAUCAUUUUUUUCUCCUCCUUUAUUCUUCUUCAUCUUCUUAUUCAAAUUUCAACUGGUGUGCAUAUAAUUUCUAGAACUUUAAAUUCUUUCGAUUUCAGUUUUGUUCUUCUUUUUCAAAAUUCUACAUUCUUUUUUUUCUUGAUAAUUUGGUUGAUUUACGUGUUUGUUGGUCAAUUGUGUUGAUUUUUUCAUAUUUUUUUUUUUUAGAUUUGCGGCUUUGCGGAGAUUGAAAUUGGACAAGCUGAAUUUGUUUUGGAGAAGGUGAUUAUUACGAUUUGGUUAUGUCUACUGUGGUGUGGUUUUGACUGUGAGAAAGAAUUUUGAAAACCAAAAUUGUCAUAAUAAUGAGACCGAAACUUCAUUAAAAUAGAGCUUUAUAGUUCUUUUUAGAGAGGAUAUAUAACAACGACAAAAAUUAAAAACUAAAAAUCAAAAUAUACACAACAAUCAAAUAUCAAGAAAUAGAUUUAAGAAGAAAAAAACUUCAAAAGUAAUGUUGAAAGAAAAUAACAGGAAAAAGAAAAGCAAGAAUGUAUCAGGAAAAAGAAAAAGAAGAAUGGAAUGGUGAAUUUCAUUUAAGAAGACAGUGAGGAAAAAAAUUAAAAUAAAUUAAAUUAAAAAAAAAAGUAUAUUAUUAAAUAAAUGCUGAAAGAAAUAAAAAAUAUAAAAAAAUUCCUUCCUUCACUCUCUAUUAGAGAGUAUACUACACUCUCCAUGUCAUGUAGACAAAAGGGUCUAUUAAUAUUGGUUUGAAAUUGUUUAGAGGGUAAUAGAUCGCCCGCCAAGUUAAAGUAUCUUUUUGCAAACCUCAGACAAUGAUACGGGUAUGACCACGAGGAUGCAUGUAUGUGAUAAUGAAUUGAACCCGUACAAUAAAGCGUCCAAGUGAAGUGUGGAGAAGAGCUUGGAUCACACCAAAACCGACCCUAAAAUUGCACUCCAAGGGCGCCCUUGGUCACAUUUUAUUAAAGGAACCUUUUGGUCAUUUUACCUAUUAUUUGUAACACACUAUUAAUAGAAUGAUGUAGGGUUUUAGUCAUUAGUUUUUGUUAAAUAUUGAAGUUGUAACACUUGAAACUCACUCUCUUGUGAGAAAGGCCCCCAUGGCCGAAACUUGUAACUAGGGAAAUCAACAUUGAGUGUGGAUUCACUCAUGUUGGACUCAAGCUUGGAAACGUUGGAUGCUUGGGAGAUCGAGGUCACUCUUUUGCCAACGUAAGAGUUAGGUAUUUGUUGUGUGUGAUGUUAAAGGUCCAAGAGUGGAAUAGGAUUUUGGGUUUUUAAGAUUAUACCUUCAAUUUUUCUAACUAUUUAUUCUUUUACCUUUUUGUAAUCUUGUUUAGUGUUUGUGUUGUAAUCUUGUGUUCUUUUUGUUAUUGUUAAAUCCAAAUCUUGUGUCUUCUUAUUCAUCAUCUUAUGUUGUUAAUCUAGUUUUAUGUCUUCUGAUUUGGUGUAAUAAAUACCUUAUUAUCUUCUUGUUAUUGUGUUCUUGGGAAGCCAAGACUUGUCUCCAAAAGGGUUCACGGAUUUCUUCCAUUUUGUGGACUAUUUUUGGACUGAUUUUGUAUUUUCGUUAUUUUUCUCGUAUCAUUUGGUAGCAAAGCAUGGAUUGAUCUUGUUCCUACAAGAUCAAUCUUGGGCUUGCUUGAUAUAAAAUAUAAAAAAAAAAGGCAUUAGAAAACUGAAAAAUAAAAAAGAAACAAAUCUGUCCAUUUUGUGUUCUUGGCCAAAAUUGUGUUAUUGCUGUGUCUUGGCCGAGAUUCUUACUUGUUUUGUUGUUUCUAGUGUUAGUUUUCUUCAUCUCUAACACUCUUGAGUCUAAAUCUAACUUUGAGCUUACAUUGUUGGUGUUGUUUUCGUGAACAUAAGGCUUGGCCGAAUUGUUGUUGAAAAAUUAUUGUAGUGGACUGUUUUGGCCUUAUGGUCUUCAUCUUGUUGUUGUUCUAAGCUUGAACACAUGAUAUUGUUGUUCAUUGGGGGCCUAAGAAUCAUUUUACUGAAAUUUUAGUUGUCUUGGCCAAGUGUUGAAGAUAUUGUAUUGUGAAAAUUAGAAGUUGGCCGUGUGAAAAUUGUGGUAUUUUUGGAGAUCGUUGUUGGUUGUUCUUGGUGAUUGUUGAUGUUGUUCUUGAAGUUCUUCACAACCUUCAUAGCUUGUUAAUAUAAAAUGAGCAUUAGAUCUAUAAAGGUGAAGGAAAAAAGGGUGAAGCUUUGUUAGUCUUGAAAGACUUCCCAUCACUCAUCAAAUAGUCAAUCACAUCUCAACCACAUUCCAACAACUUUCCAUGAAACAAGGAUCCAUGUUAUAAGGUGAAGUACAAGAAAGUCAAAGUCUUGAAAACUUGACUUUGAAAAGGCUCCAAGACUUGUUUGAAUUUACCUCCUUAAAAUAAAUUCCACCAAUUCCUAAAUUAUAAAUUGACCAAGACUUGAAAUUGGACAACAAAAAAAAAAUUGUUAGAAAUCGCAACCAAUUAUGUGUUGCCACAUCAUCAUUGUUACUGUUCAUGCAACAUAUUUAAGCUUAAAUUUCAGAUUUCUUAGUUUCCUUUUGUUGUUUCUUAGUUUCAAUUUCGUUGGUUCCAAUACUAAUUAGCAAACUAGUACUCAUCUACUAGAUUGUUAGUUAGUCUUUGUGUUCAUUCAUGCGUGUUAAACGUUUGUUGAGUGCUUUUCUCUUUUGUGAAUUCAUUGUAUCUUGUUGGUUCAAGUCCGUAAAUAAAUUUUCUUUGAGUCAGCCCAAACGAAAAUCCAUUCCGGACAAGAGUAGACUUGACACUCAAUCACUCACAAAGUACAAGCUGAUUUUCAACACUUGUGAAACCAAGUGUGAGGUAAAACCGAGAGUGAGAGUGUGGUGAGGCAUUUUGAACUAACAAGUUUGUUUUGUUGUUUGUUGUUGUCCUUUGCUUUGGGUACUAUGGCUGUCACUAAUCUUAAUGCCACAUUUGAUCGCAUCAAUGACGAUAUUGAAGAAAUGAACUGGCAUGUGGAAAGGCUACGCCAAUUGUUACCUAAACUUAUCCUACAAAAUCUAACUUCCCUUGUCCAAACACCUUGUGCCGAAAGCUUUCUGAAGGAAGAGGUGGGCUACCCCGACCCACACCAAGGUAAAGAGGAGAUUGAAACAUCUUUGGUACCUAAUAGUGAACUUAUAGAGAGCGAAGCACUUGCUAGUUCCAAAUCUGUCUGUGAGAUAGAUCACGCUUUCUUUAGGUUUAAUGUUUUGUUUGAAGAUGAUAUAAACACUCCUAAUGAACCUAGUGGUGAAAAUGAUGGUAUAGCUUGCCUUGAAGGCUAUAGCCGAUAUGCUAACCCACUAUGGUUGAUAACAUUUCUCCUAAAGAUGGAAAUCUCUUCUUGAAAGAUGAGUGUACUCUUAUGGGCAAAAAAUGUGUAGUCUCGGAAAUGAGUACUCUUGGUAGUACUCUUAGGGUGAAUUAUGAUCAAUUUACUCUCAUAUGUAGUUCACUACUUGAGCAUGUGAAUAGUGUGCUUAAAAAUUCUCAAGUUAGUGAUGAUCUCUAUAGAAUUAAUCUUUAUAAUGAACAUGACUCUUUGAACAUCUUGUGUGGUAAAAGCAUUACAAUUAGUUUUGUUCAUAGAGAUCAUGUGUAUGAAAAUGUUUUGUGUGUGAGUAUGGGAGUGACAUUCUAGGGGAAGGGAG
rnacentral:lncRNA from 1 species